UUGGGUCUCCUUAGUCUAAUUGGGAGGAAUAAGAAUGCUAUAUUGGGUUUCCUCAAGGAUAGAAUCCAGAAAGAGUCCAAAGUUGGGAUGGUAAGCUGCUAUCUCGGGCUGGUAAGGAAAUUCUCCUUAAGUCUAUCGCUCAAGCUCUCCCAACUUAUGCUAUGAGUGUUUUUCUUCUUCCCCUUAGGCUUUGUUUGAACCUUGAAAGAUUGAUGAGUCAUUAUUGGUGGAAAUCGUCUUCUAGCCAUGGUAGAGGUCUCUCUUGGAAAAGAUGGGACUCUCUUUGCAUACACAAGCAUGGUGGUGGUAUGGGCUUUCGCCACCUUAGAGAUUUCAAUCUUGCUAUGCUUGGAAAACGAGGGUGGCGGCUUCUAACUCGUGAAAAUUCUGUAGUGGCCAAAGUUUACAAAGUUCGCUACUAUCCUUGUGUUACUUUUUUGGAUGCUCCCUUGGGCAACAAUCCUAGUUUUGUUUAGAGAAGCAUUUGGGAGACGCGUGGCCUUCUCAAAUCUGGUUGUAGAUGGAGUGUGGGUUUGGGUGACGAAAUUGCUAUCCUUUGUCAACCUUGGCUUCCGGAUGACCUCAACCCUUAUGUUGUUUCUACUACUCCUGGGCUGCUCAAUAAAAAAUUAGUGAGUUCUUUAUUGACUAUUGGCUAUCAGACUUGGGAUGAUGAUCUCCUUACCGAUAUGUUUGCAGAAAGAGAUAGAGACCUUAUACUAAGCAUUCGGCUGAGCUCCUCUUCUCACAAGGAUCACUGGUAUUGAAUGCAUGAAACUUCUGGCCUUUACUCUUUUAGAAGUGCUUACCGUAUACUACAAGUCCUUCAUGGUCGCUGGGUUUUUGGACAAUAAUUCUGGUUUUUGGUGUACUCUUUGGACUCUUAAGAUUCCUCCAAAAGUCAAGAAUUUCUUGUGGCAUGUUGCUUCAGGUUGCAUCCCCACCAACCUGAAUUUAAAGCUUCGUUUUGUGGACAUUAACCCCAGCUGCCCUAUUUGUUUGAAGGUUAAUGAAUCAGUUAAUCAUGCUCUUCUUUUUUGCCCUUUUUCUUUGUCUUGCUAGUCCACGUUUGGGAUUACUAUUAGGGCCUGAUAAGGGCAAGAAUUUCGAGAGUUGGUUGGAGCAAAUUUUUGCUCAAGGAAUCAAAGAAAACUUUGCUGAUUAGUAUGCUUUGUUGGAGUAUUUGGAAAGCUCGCGAUGAGUUUGUUAGGAGAGAAUAGUCACUCUUUUGGUUUUGGCUGGGCAGUUGGGGACCAUUUCGGUACUCUCAUUGAGGCUAGGAGUCAUCUGAGGCGUGGCUUGGUUCUUCCCCACGUUGCUGAAGCAAUCGGAGUCAAGGAGGCUCUUAUUUGGAUUAAAUCUCAGUUGCUGGAGAAUGUUAAAAUAGAGUCUGGCUGUCAUUUGCUUGUUCAAGCUAUUCAUAGCUCUACCUCCUUGCUUUCUCCUUUUGGGAAUAUUGUUAGACUGUCAAGUGUUAGUCUCAUUGUACUAAUGUGUCUAUUCAGUUUGUGAAGCGUUUUGCUAACCAUAUAGCUCAUUACCUUGCUAGGAGCUCUUGUUAUAACCUAAGACGUGUAUAAUAGAGCAUGCUCCAUCUGAAUUGUUGAUUCGUUUGUAGACUUAGCUAGUUAAUAAAUCUUCUUUUGUUAAAA